GAUGAACGCUGACAGAAUGCUUAACACAUGCAAGUCGAUGGGGAAGUGGUGCUUGCACCAUGGUAACCAUGGCGGACGGGUGAGUAACGCGUAAGGAACUUGCCUGCGGGACUGGGAUAACAGCAGGAAACUGCUGAUAAUACCGGAUAAGGUCAUUAAGCUGCAUAGCUUAGUGAUGAAAGGAGACGCCUGCGGAGAGCCUUGCGUCCUAUUAGCUAGUUGGGGGGGUAACGGCCCACCAAGGCGAAGAUAGGUAGCCGGCCUGAGAGGGUGGACGGCCACAAGGGGACUGAGAUACGGCCCUUACUCCUACGGGAGGCAGCAGUGGGGAAUAUUGGACAAUGGGGGCAACCCUGAUCCAGCAAUUCUGUGUGCACGAAGACGGUUUUCGGAUUGUAAAGUGCUUUCAGCAGGGAAGAAGGAAGUGACGGUACCUGCAGAAGAAGCGACGGCUAAAUACGUG
rnacentral:rRNA from 1 species